AGGCAUGUUGAACCGUAAGUGGAGGAAAGGCAGGGAGAAAGGCAAUUCUGGUUCGUUUAUUGGGGUGGCUACUUACUAGGUCGAGCAAUCUUCUUCUAGGUUGUUAAGGUUGUUGUUGUUGGGUACGGACUCGGGCAAUGCAUUGGUGCUUGACCCAGAUGAAGUUCUUACGCAUUGUGGUUCCAUACUAAUUGUUUGUAACUUUUCGGAUGUAUUUCCCUUUGAACUUAUUGGUCUGCCUCCCUCGUGAUAGGUAGAAUUUUUAAUUGAACUGCUGCCCAGAACCCAACCAAUCUCAAAGUUCACCUAUCGUAUGAGUUGUGUUGAGCUUGUAG
rnacentral:lncRNA from 1 species